rnacentral:rRNA from 1 species
GACGAACGCUGGCGGCGUGCCUAAUACAUGCAAGUUGAGCGCUGAAGGUUGGUACUUGUACCAACUGGAUGAGCAGCGAACGGGUGAGUAACGCGUGGGGAAUCUGCCUUUGAGCGGGGGACAACAUUUGGAAACGAAUGCUAAUACCGCAUAAAAACUUUAAACACAAGUUUUAAGUUUGAAAGAUGCAAUUGCAUCACUCAAAGAUGAUCCCGCGUUGUAUUAGCUAGUUGGUGAGGUAAAGGCUCACCAAGGCGAUGAUACAUAGCCGACCUGAGAGGGUGAUCGGCCACAUUGGGACUGAGACACGGCCCAAACUCCUACGGGAGGCAGCAGUAGGGAAUCUUCGGCAAUGGACGAAAGUCUGACCGAGCAACGCUGCGUGAGUGAAGAAGGUUUUCGGAUCGUAAAACUCUGUUGGUAGAGAAGAACGUUGGUGAGAGUGGAAAGCUCAUCAAGUGACGGUAACUACCCAGAAAGGGACGGCUAACUACGUG